UUUAGGGUUUAGAGUUUAGGGUUUAGGGUUUAAAGUUAGAGAGCGUGUUUUUGGAGACGUGAUUUCAAAUUUAAAAAAAUAAAAUAAAAUUAAAAUUUUCAAAAUAAAAAAUGUUAUUUUGGUCAUAUAUUUUUGCAACAAAAACUAAAAAAAUGUAGAGAAUUGCUAGUACCUUAUUCGGCUGAUGCUCUUACUGAGAUUUAGUUUCACUUAGAUUGUUCCUUACAGUAUCGCAUUUAGAGCAAGAUUUCAUGAUAGAAGUCAAAGCGACCAUGGAAACAGAGUCAAGAAAGACAUUAUCGUUAUUCGUGGAUCAGGGACGAGGUCUGUUGAGAAAGCAGUUGUUAGAUACGAUAGAGAUACAAGAUUCCGCGACGAGAACAUGGUAACAGGAAACAGAGUCGAGAAAUACUUAAAUCAUUAUGAUUUAAUUUUUUGAUUCUUAAAGGAAGCAACUCCGGAUAGAGAUCCGAUUGCACAUGCAAUAUACUGGGAAAAGAAAGUGCAAGAACUAAGAGUGAGAAAUGCUGAGAUGAAACAGAGGAGAGCCAAUGAAACAAUACAAAAACAGAGACUGAGAAAUGCUGAGAUGCAGCAGAGGAGGGCCAAUAAAACAGAGUCGAGAUCUAUUGAAGAAACGAAGGUACACAAUAACCUUUUGAUUUGGCGUUUUAAGUUUCUUAUGUGAAGAUUUGAUGAUAGAAGUCAAAUGAUACCAUGGAAACAAAGUCAAGAAAGAACAUAUUGUUAUGCUCCUCUUGCGUAAGGAUUUUAUAGUUCAGUUUAUUGUUUAUUGUCAGGGAGAAACUGUGGAUAUGAGGCCGAGUGGAUCAGGGGAGAAAGCGGUUGUUAGAUACGAUAGAGAUACAAGAUUCUGGGAAGACAAAAUGGAACAACAGAGACUGAGCGAUGCUUUGAUGCAACACAUGAGAAGCAAUGAAAUAGUGUCUAGAUCCACUAAAGAAACCAAGGUACACGGUUUCACUUAUAGUCAAGGAAACAGAGUCGAGAAAGAUCUAUUGCUAUGCUCUUGCAUUAGGGUGAUUUAUCGUUCCGUUUAUUGUUGAUUCAUAGGGACAAACUCGGCCUAGUGGAUCAGGGAGGUGGUCACCAGUUGUUAGAUACGAUAGAGAUACAAGAUCCUGGGAAGAGAACAGGGUAACAAAAAAACAGUACAACAACUUACUCUGUUCUGUAGUAUAAUGAAUCAAAAGAGUUAAUCCGAAUUAUUAUUUUUUUUCUCAGGAAUACUUAGAAUCAAGUGUAAGAGAGAACAAAGCGGUUCAAAUUCGUGAUCAAAUACAUACAACAGACACAGAGAGAUGAUGAGAUGCAACAGAGGAGAAGCCGUGAAACAGAGUCGAUAUUCUCUCAACAGCAGAAGAAUAGGGUAAGGAAACUCAACAUAGAGUUUACUCUGUUGUGAAGCUAAGAGGUUGAUGUGAAACCUAAGUUUACUCUGUUUUCAAUCAUCCUACUCCGAGUUGGAGAUUUGACGAGAGGAGACAUGACACAGAGGUGCCAGAGAAGAGGUUAACUAUACUGAAUGUGAUCUUUUAUAUUUUUCUUAGUUUAGGGUUUGGUUUAGACGUUUUCUUUGGACAAUUAUGAUUAUCAGGCAGAACAGUGUAUGGGAGGGGGAGGGUGGCUGAGUUAUGAUGAGAGACGGAGAAAUCCUGCAACUAGGGAGAUUCUUAUGCGUCCUCCAAGGAGAAUGGUAAGGAAGUUGAAUAUGACCCCUGACCAGUUCUAUAGUUUCUUCAAACAAAUAUCGUAAUAUAUAUUCUAAUGCUCAUUAGAAUCUACGUGAGCAGGAACAGAGAGAUAGGGAGAGGGAGGUGAGAAAUGAAGGGGCUUCAUAACAGAGAGUCAUCACCACAACUUGGGACUGAAAGAAAAGAGAGUGAUGGAAUUUAAAGAGGAAACAGAGUUAAUAAACAUAUCAAAGAUUAUUCCUUUUGGCGCAAGUAAUUAUGUGUCUUGUGAAUUUUUAUUUGCUUAUGAUCUAUCUUUACUGUAUUAAAAGAUGCACAUGUUAGAUUUUUUUUUUUUUUUUUUGUGUGAAAAACGGGGGGUUUAAAUCAACUAUAUCAAAUGUACAAAAUUUCAUAACUUCUUUGUGGUAUUAUAAAAACCUUCAAAAUUAUAAUUCUUAUAUUAAUCACUCACAAUCUUCUUUGAUCUCUCUCUGUAACAAAAAGCAUGUAUUCAAGUUGGUUUGGUUUUUAGGGUUCUUAGACGUUGAACUGUUGUUGCAGGUAACUGAACUUACUAGCUAUUUCAACAAAAACAAACAGCUGCUGAACUCGGUUUCAGGAUCAAAGUGGGCAACCCUUUGGUGAAGAUCUCGGCAUAUUGAAAUGAAUCACAACUUUUUCCCUGACAAAAUGAAUGUCCAGUUCAACCUGCUUUUGAAAUAGAUCAAAUGUUGGGAUGGACCAGAAGGGCACAAAAAUUUUUGGAAUAGACUCUCUCUAUUUUUAUUUUUUAAUGAAUUAAAAAUAAAUCAAAACUAAGCAGAAAAUACCAUAAUAAACCAUAAAACUUCAACAUAUUUACAUAUCCAACCACUCUACCCACCCAUUAACCAUUACCCCAACCCGACCCUCAUUUUAAUAGCCCUAAAUCCCCAAUUUCUUGGUCUUCGACAUAACCAAUGAAACCUACAAACUAAAAUCACGAUCUCCCUAUAUCUCCCAUCACUAAUCAAACUCGGCAACAAUCAAUCUUGAAUGUCAUCUAUUUCUCCAGUUUCGUAUCACUCAUUGAGAAACUAUGUCUCCAAUUAGUGCCAGAAAAAAAACAAGGAAGAAACCUGACCCAAUCUCCUUCUUCUUCCUCAUUUCUUUAACUAAAAAACAAAAUAAAAAAAAUUAUGCAACCAUCUACUAAUUUUCUCUUUCUUAUCUCAAAUCGAUCAACCCAUAGUCAUAUUUAAUCAAUUAUAUCUUAUCCAGAAUCAAAUUUCAUUUUUCCAUACGAUAUUCAAGAUAAUGAAGAACGCAAAGUAUUACUAGUACAAUUCAAACUAGUAUAACUAGUAUAAAUCAAACUAGUACAACUAGUACAACUCGAAUUAGUACAACUAGUACGGAUUGAAUAUCUCAUAUAUAUUAUUUGAGAAGUGAUUUUUUUAUGCAUCGUCACAAUAUUCAUUCUCACCAAAAUAAAGAUGACAUGGCUUUGAGAAAUUAUGAAAUGACAUCACUUAAUUAUGAGAUGUACAAUUUCCUUUAUUUAUUGUUUCCAACAUAUGAAGAUGCUAGAAAAGAGAAUGAUGUAGAACCAAUAAGACAUAUUGGUAUAAUCACCCCUGCUUGCAUAUGUCAAAUAUAUGAAUAGUAUAUUUUUAAUAACAUUUGAUUUGGAAUUGAUACGUUUAUACGUUGUACUAGUUAUACUAGUUUUACGAUUUUCGGAAAAAAAAUCAUCUUCAUCUUUUUGGUCUCGAGGCCGAAAAGCUAGAUGCGGAGCCAGAAAAUUCUUCAACCAUUGCUCUAAAAACGCGAGUCACCGGAAAAAAAGAAAAAGAUUGGGUUUGAUGUAUGAUUUUGUGUUUUUUUUGUUGCAAAUAAUUGUUUUUAUAAUGAUGUAUUAAUACAAUUCUUAUCAACAGUUAUAAAAUUUUAGUUUUUUAUCAAUAUAAUAAUAGAUAUUAGAAAGAAACAAAAUUGCAACAAGUAAUACAAAUAAUAAGUAAAAAUAUUAAUUAAGAAUUAUUUACCAAAAUAAAUCAUUUUAAUCAAGUAUUUUUUUUUUUAAAUUACAUUUAAUUAGUAAAUAAUAUAAAUCAGCAGUUGUAAAUGAUACAUAUUUUUGAAUAACUUCUUAAAAUUGAUACUAAUUUUACCCCUUCUUUAUGUCUACAUGACUUUGGUAUUGAAAUCGAAAAAACUAGUUGUACCACAUAGAAUUUAAACUUACCUCAGUUGUACAACUUCUUUAUGUGUACACUAGUGGUAUUCCGGCGCUACGCGUCGGGUUUGUAUGUUUUGUUUUUACAUGAAUUUACAAUUGGUUGUGAUGUCGUUUGUACUUUGUUGUAUUUUAAAGUAGAUUGGGUUUGCUUGCCAAGCAAGUGGUGUUUUUAAAUUUUAUGUUGAAUUAUGGCCCCCAAAUUUAGGUAGCUGGGCAUCGUGUUAAUUGUUGAGGUUUUGACGUUAGUUUGUGGACUUCUGGUUGAGUUGAGUUGUUGCUUUUGUUAAUAAGAAUGAAAACAAUUGAGUUAGGACGAUUAUGUUUUGGGGUUUAUUAAUUUUUAUGGAUAGUACCAUAAGGAGUGUCUGUCGACUCAUAUUUCUGAAAAAAGCUGGACCUUUGAGUUUUGUAUGUCCUAUUGAAGAAAUGGGUAUACAAGAAUUUUUUAAAAAUAAUUAAAUUAAGUCGGUUGUUCAAAAAAAGAUGAAAUAAAGUCUUUUUUUUUAAGUUGAUUUAUUAUGAUAUUACAAUUAAGAUGAAAUAAAGUCUAUGCAUUCAAAAUAGUUUUGCCUCUGAAAUUAAAGUUUACUCUUUUUUUCUAAGAUUUUAAAAUUUUGCAACUUUCCAUCUAAGUCUCAGUUUCCUUCUAUACUUAUCCAGUAGUACAAAAAGUGAAAGCGAAGCUAACUCAAAGUAUCAUUCUCAUAUUUCAAUCAAUGUCAGCUUCUUUCGCUGCAGCAUCAGUAUCAACAACAACAACAUCUAUAAUGUGCGUCACUGUUUGAGAUGAAGUUGUAGGCUAAACUUGUCUUCUUAUCUCCUACUCAUGCAACACUUUUCCCACUAUAUCCAUCUCUUUCUCUAUUGAACUGUCUUUUUACUGGCUUUUGUUGGUGAAUUUUUCCUUGUUAUUACAGGAUUAUAUAUGUUCCAGCAGUGUUCGACAAUAUCUAUGCAAAUGUUGUAGUCAAUCGCAAAACUGUCGAUCUUGGUCUUUACUCUUAAGCUUGUCUUUGUCAACCAUAUGAUAUAAAAAAAGUUUGCUUCCUGAAUUCACUAUUAGAGUUCGUUCAUGUUUUUUAAACUAUAAUCAGACAGAUUAUGAAUCUUGGGCAGUAUCUUUGGUGUUUUAUUAUGAAUAUUGUGGAGUAUCUUCUUUGGUGUUUUAUUAUAUUACAGGUCAAGAAGAUUACAAUAGGCUUAGAUGAGUUACAGAGGAGCAAAUGUUUUUAUUCUUGCCUUCUCUCUUAUCAGCAGGCCUAGCUUUGAGAACAUUGGUAAAAAGUGGGCCUUUGAGCUGCAACAUUAUGCCCCUAACGUGCCUGUCGUUCUAGUGGGAACUAAAUUAGAUCUGAGAGAAAAUAAGUUCCCAAUGAAUGAUCCAGGUGCUUGCACAACUUCAAUAGAACAUGGUCAAGAGCUAAGAAAUGAGAUACAAUAUUAGUAUAUAUAGAGUGAUGGUAAGAGAGUGGAGAAGAAAAAAACAAAACCUACCUUUUCAUCAAUUAUGAGCAUCUAGAGGCCCUUUAACUCACCACCAUUUGAUGUUAUGCGUUCUGAGAACAAUGGCCGGACUCAAGUCUAAAAGCAAGAGGUUGAGAAGUUUUCAUCGCUAAUUACUGUCUUUGUGACUAACAAAUUAAUCAAAUUAGAGUAAAUCGAAGGAGCAAGGGCUAGAAAUUGAGCAAGGAGAGGGUGCAUUGAAUAAAACCUAGUUGGCGAAAUGGAUCAUUGGUGUUUUAAGGCAGCAUUAAUUCCUUUGAAUGAAUGCAUCUGCUGACGGUUACACCAACGGGUCGUCGGAGUGGUUCAGAGGAACAUAGAUGGACGCCACAACUCGUCGGCGAAAGCUUUUCAUUAAGCCAGGCUUUUCAUUAAUAUAUCUUGGGCUUCCAUAAUAUAUAUCUCUUUUUUUUUUUGCCGGCAACCAUACCGUUUCAUUAAACCCAAACGGGUAAGUAAAUAUUACAAUGCAAGGAGGAAGCCUAAAUUAAGAUUACAGCUCAAUAACAAUUUUAGUGACCUACACGUGUAAUCUAAGAGAAGCUAAUCUAGAGAGAUCUCGAGAUGUGACGUCAUCGCUAUCUCGUUUCCGGCGAAACCACCACCGCAAUCCUCGUUCCAGUUCUAGAACAUCAUCCAUGGUGCUUGAAAAAACUUCAAUAAUCGUCGCCUUGAGCCUCUAGAUCAUAUUUCACUCGCUUGCAUUGCUUAAAAACCUUCGCCUAUAAACGCCCAAUUGAUUGAAAAUCUAAACUCUACCACCGUAAAAUAAGAACACGGAGAGUCGGCCUAGGUAUUUGUUAAAGCGCCGUCAGAACACGACCAGAGCUUUAAGUCUUCAUACUCCAACGUCUUGAAACCUCACCCAAGGAAUACCUACACUCGAAUUCGCCUUAGCUGAAAAGUAAGGAUUUAUAAUCACAAGGGAGAUGAAUCAAGCAUCAGUGAUGAGAAAGAUCUAAUCAAUCAAUCAGGGAUAACCCGCCAUUGAAAUCGAUUGGUAGGAAAGAGUAUUAUUCUGGAUCUCGUUUGAGUUGAACUAAACAUCACAGAAAGGUAGAACAUUUAUAGUGGAGGCUUCAGCCAGUUACGGUGGAAAACGAAGCGGUUGAAUGAAUGCAACUGGGCGGAGUGGAGUAAUCAAAAAAAACUCAGAGUUAUGGAGGGUGAUACGUUGCAAAGACCUAGACGGCGUUCAUAAUUUUGGAGAAAAAUCGCAGGGACUCUGAUGCUGCCACACGUGUCUAGAUUUGCCCUCUCCUACCUGAUGACGUGGUUUAACGAGGAGAGAGUCAAGUCUGUUUUAUUGUAUAAGAAGAUAAGUUUACCCCAAUAAAAUGAAAUCAUCAAUUUUUUUAGAAUACAUUUCAUGUAUGUUUUCCAAAAAUUAUGUGGAUAAAGAACUUAACAGACCUUAAAAGUAUAAAGUAGAUCAUGCAAACUUAUGAGAUGGUGUAAAAACUGCAAAAAAAAAACCCAAAAAAUAUUAAAAUAAUAAGGAAUCUAUCUAAAUAUUUACCAAUUUGGUUAUUUGAUUGUUUUUUUUUCAUAUGGAUACCCAAUGAAAUAUAUUAAUUUCAUGUAUGUUUUCCUAAAAUUAAGUGGAAAAACAAGUUAACAAAUCUUACAAGUAUAAGGUAAAUGAUGCAAACUUAUGUGAUGGUGUAAGAGCUGCAAAAAAACAAAAAAAAUCAUAAAAGGUAAUAAGAAACAUAACUAACACUAGGUGAUAGAUUUCUCACCCAACUUAGCCGAUACAAAGCUAUAUGAUAUCACCCAAUUUUUCCGAUUCAGCAGUUCCCAACACCUAUUUUCUUUAUAUGGAUAUAAAAAUAAGAUAUGAAAUAAAGAAAUUGUAAACACAUAUAUACAAUAAAAACAUGGUGAAACUUACAUAUUUCGACACGAAGGGAUGACAUACCAAUGAUUUUAUUUAUGAUUUUCUAUAGACAUUACACAUACCUGGAAAAGAUUUUAAUGUUAUCAAUAGAAAUAUACCUCCAUCAAAAAAUGAAACCCUAAAAGACACAAAAUUAAAAGGAAAGUAGAUUAAUAUGAUCAGUAUAAAUAGUACAACCAGUAUAACUACGAGAAAGUUAGUGUGACUGGUUUAACCGGUACAUCUACGUUCUUUCAAUAACACGUAGUUGUACCAAAUAUUAGGUUGUACAAGUUUGUACAUAUUUGUAUUUUGGCAGUGAAAUUGAAAAACUUAGUUGUACCACAUCUUUAUAAUAUUAUUUGAGAAGUCAGUUUCCUAUGUGGCGCUCAUGUUAAUUGUUACGAUGGUUUAUUACAAAGCCACCCUUAUAUGAAUUAAAAUAUUAUAUCCAAUUGCUAUUAUUAAAACUAUUUAAUAAUUUAUGCUAGUUAUAUUUUUAAUUUAGUUUCCUUUAUAUAUUUUUCAAAUAACAUAUAAGUCAGUUUCAUAUGUGGCACUCUCACGUUAAUUAUUACAGUGGUUUAUUACAAUGACACCCUUAUAUGAAUUAAAAUAUUAUAUCCAAUUGUUAUUAUUAAAACUUUUUAACAAUUUAUGCCAGUUAAAAUUUUAAUUUAGUUUCUUUUUUAUAUUUUUCAAAUAACAUAUAUAAUAAACAGGGAACAUUUGAUAUAGUUAAAAACGAAAAUUAUAUAUACAUAAAAGGAAACAAAAUAUAUU